GCUUGUCUCAAAGAUUAAGCCAUGCAUGUGUAAGUAUCAGAAGUCUGAACUUCAAAACUGCGAAUGGCUCAUUAUAUCAGUUAUAGUUUAUUUGAUAGUACCUUACUACUUGGAUAACCGUAGUAAUUCUAGAGCUAAUACAUGCACUCGAGCCUCGACCGAGGCCCCGGCAACGGGGUCGCGGAAGAGGUGCUUUUAUUAGAUCAAAACCAGUCGGGGAAACGAUCGCCGGGUCAAACCGGUCGGUCGCGGAACCGUACCAAUUUUGGUGACUCUGGAUAACUUCACGCCGAUCGCACGGCCUUCGCGCCGGCGACGUAUCUUUCAAAUGUCUGCCUUAUCAACUGUCGAUGGUAGGUUACGCGCCUACCAUGGUUGCAACGGGUAACGGGGAAUCGGGGUUCGAUUCCGGAGAGGGAGCCUGAGAAACGGCUACCACAUCCAAGGAAGGCAGCAGG
rnacentral:rRNA from 1 species